rnacentral:lncRNA from 1 species
UCUGAGAUGGCAUGAAGAUUCAGAUGAAAGAAGCGAAACUGCAAAAGAACCUCCGUUGCAGUUUUUCUGGUGAACUGGCGAGGUUGGUUCUUCAAGGGUAGGAAGGAAGCAAAGCUUUGCACGGUAGAGCCCGGGCUUGUUUUUCUCCUUUCUUUUCUCUGGUAGUAGUAAAUUUUGAAGCGCUUAUUACUUACUUUAAUUCUGUAGUCGUUUGGAGGAAAACUGCACUAGUAGUUGACUGACUUGCAUGCAUGCCAUUGCCAGGCCAGGAUUCUUGGGUCCGUCCUGGUCCAAGUUCCUCCUUUCGGCACCGAAGGAAAGAAAAUAUGCAGAAGCGUCAGAUGCAAGCUGCGAAGUGGUUGUUCUUGGAAAAAAAGACACCUAAAGGACGUCUUAAGAUCUGAUAAAUAUCAAGCUGCGAAGUUGCUACCACUCUUGUACCGUUCUCCCGAGUAAAUAGCAUAAAACUGCUACUUUACAGGCUAUGGUUCCAAAAAACUACCAAAUAUUUUUUUUUCGCUGAUAACUACCAAUUCGGGAGUCGGCUGUUUCAAAAAACCCAAAUUCCUCGUUGCUAACAUUUUAAAUGGGUUUAUGAUAGGUCGGGCCUGCUCCUAAACAAUCCGUUUGUUGAUCUUUUUGUUUGACCGUUAGCUUAUUGUGGGACCCACAUGUAAGAUAUUUUUUCUUCCUCCUACAUUUUCUUCUCUCC